rnacentral:rRNA from 1 species
AGUGAACGCUGGCGGUAGGCCUAACACACGCAAGUCGAACGGCAGCACAGAGGAGCUUGCUCCUUGGGUGGCGAGUGGCGGACGGGUGAGGAAUACAUCGGAAUCUACUCUGUCGUGAGGGAUAACGUAGGGAAACUUACGCUAAUACCGCAUACGACCUACGGGUGAAAGCAGGGGAUCUUCGGACCUUGCGCGAUUGAAUGAGCCGAUGUCGGAUUAGCUAGUUGGCGGGGUAAAGGCCCACCAUGGCGACGAUCCGUAGCUGGUCUGAGAGGAUGAUCAGCCACACUGGAACUGAGACACGGUCCAGACUCCUACGGGAGGCAGCAGUGGGGAAUAUUGGACAAUGGGCGCAAGCCUGAUCCAGCCAUACCGCGUGGGUGAAGAAGGCCUUCGGGUUGUAAAGCCCUUUUGUUGGGAAAGAAAUCCAUCUGGUUAAUACCCGGGUGGGAUGACGGUACCCAAAGAAUAAGCACCGGCUAACUUCGUGCCAGCCGCCGCCGUAA